rnacentral:tRNA from 2 species
GCGUCCGUAGCUCAGCUGGAUAGAGUACCUGUCUACGAACCAGGCGGUCAGAGGUUCGAAUCCUCUCGGACGCG